UAGGUACACGAGUUGUUACAUUAGAAA
rnacentral:sRNA from 1 species